rnacentral:rRNA from 1 species
CUCGUGUUGUGAAAUGUUGGGUUAAGUCCCGCAACGAGCGCAACCCUUAUCCUUUGUUGCCAGCGGUUCGGCCGGGAACUCAAAGGAGACUGCCAGUGAUAAACUGGAGGAAGGUGGGGAUGACGUCAAGUCAUCAUGGCGCCUUACGAGUAGGGCUACACACGUGCUACAAUGGCGUAUACAAAGAGAAGCGACCUCGCGAGAGCAAGCGGACCUCAUAAAGUACGUCGUAGUCCGGAUUGGAGUCUGCAACUCGACUCCAUGAAGUCGGAAUCGCUAGUAAUCGUAGAUCAGAAUGCUACGGUGAAUACGUUCCCGGGCCUUGUACACACCGCCCGU